CAGCCGCCGCGGGAAAACGUAGGUGGCAAGCGUUGUCCGGAAUUAUUGGGCGUAAAGGGCUCGCAGGCGGUUUCUUAAGUCUGAUGUGAAAGCCCCCGGCUCAACCGGGGAGGGUCAUUGGAAACUGGGAAACUUGAGUGCAGAAGAGGAGAGUGGAAUUCCACGUGUAGCGGUGAAAUGCGUUGAGACCGGAAAGAACACCAACGGCGAAAGCACUCUGCUGGGCCGACACUGACACUGAGAGACGAAAGCUAGGGGAGCAAAUGGGAUUAGAUACCCCUGUAGUCCCUGUCUCUUAUAC
rnacentral:rRNA from 1 species